UACGUAGGGCGCAAGCGUUAUCCGGAAUUAUUGGGCGUAAAGAGCUCGUAGGCGGUUUGUCGCGUCUGCCGUGAAAGUCCGGGGCUCAACUCCGGAUCUGCGGUGGGUACGGGCAGACUAGAGUGAUGUAGGGGAGACUGGAAUUCCCGGUGUAGUGGUGAAAUGCGUAGAUAUCGGGAGGAACACCAGUGGCGAAGGCGACUACCUGGCCUGUUCUUGACGCUGAGGCGCGAAAGCUAGGGGAGCAAACGGGG
rnacentral:rRNA from 1 species